rnacentral:rRNA from 1 species
AUGGACGCAUCUCGCGCCGGCUCCCCCUCCAACCCCACUCCCACCAGGCAUCGUCUCACCGUUCCCGUUCAUGGGCGGCCUUCACCAACCCCGCUGCCGGCACACCCUGGUGAAUGGCGGUCCCGCCCGGCCGUCUCAUGGACCGUGGAGAACAUCUAUGAGGACUUCUCUGGUCGCCGCAGCGCGCUCGUCCAAGCCCUCACCACAGGUAAAGAGCCAAUGUGCUUGUACGGGUACGCGGACGGUAGUUGGCAGUUGACGCUGCCGGAGGAGAUGGUGCCGCCAGGCCUGCCGGUGCCGACACGAGGCAUCAACCGCCGGCGAGAUUAUGUGAACCGUUCUGACUACCUGACACUCGUCGCCCACCACUCCGACUCGUGGCUCAUGGGUGUCACCUUUUUCUUGUCCACUCAUCUCGACGCCAACCAAAGGAUACAUUUAUUUAAUAUGGUAAACGAGAUGCGAACAGUCCAUGACGAAUUCUAUCUCUCUUACGGUCUUCCUUGGCUAUCAACAUUUGCGCGAUACAAUGCAAACAGGGAGUCGAGCGCACCAACUCAAGAGAAUGUGUCCAAUCCAGACGUAGACUCUAUCACACCUGCUGAAGAGAACGUGCCACCUUCUCAAGACUCGAUGCAUGUUUUGUCUGCUCAAAACAGGGACUCUAGGAAGCCUGCUGAAGACAAACAAAAGGAUAAUGAAGUUACCGACUUUUGCGGAUCUUGUAAUGCUCCGUAUCAUGCCAAUGCCUUUUGGAUUUGUUGUGACGAAUGUGACCAGUGGUUCCAUGGCAAAUGUGUGAACGUAACUGCCUCUGAAGCAGAACAUAUCAAAGAAUACAAGUGUCCUGACUGCAUCCGCGAGGUGAUCGGAGAGUAG